GCUCUCGCAUCGAUGAAGAGCGCAGCGAAAUGCGAUACGUGGUGCGAAUUGCAGAAUCCCGCGAACCAUCGAGAAUUUGAACGCAAGUUGCGCCCGAGGCCAGCCGGCCAAGGGCACGUCCGCCUGGGCGUCAAGCGUUACGUCGCUCCGUGCCAGAUCCCUCCCACCCGAUAGGUGUGUACGGAGGAGGGUCGGAUGUGCAGAGUGGCUCGUCGUGCCCGCGUGCGCGGCGGGCUGAAGAGCGGGUGAUCGUCUCGUUGGCCACGAACAACAAGGGGUGGAUGAAAAUUGUGCCUGUGUUGUAUCGUGUUGGCGUGAGAAGAGAUUUAUACCCAGCGGAUGAUCCCAGUCUAAGCGUCGGUCCACGGACGUCGGCUUGGAAUGCGACCCCAGGAUGGGCGAGGCCACCCGCUGAGUUUAAGCAUAUCAAUAAGCGGAGGAGAAGAAACUUACGAGGAUUCCCCUAGUA
rnacentral:rRNA from 1 species